rnacentral:lncRNA from 1 species
UUUAAAUUUAUUACUUGGUAUAAUAUGUGAAAUUAGAAUAUUAAAAUUAAAGAUUUAAAAAUAUAUUUUGAUCAUUCAAUAUUAAUUUAUUAGAUAUGUUGUUAACAAAAAGAUUUUAUUUGUAAGACUAUCUGUGAAGUGCUAAUAAUUAUUUUUAGUGAUGUGAAGGGUAUUUUAGUAAUUAUAUAUGAACCGACAAAGUAAGGGGUGAGACGAAACCAACAAACAUAUUUACUUAUAAAACUAAUAAAACUAUAUACAUAGAUAAAUAGAUAAGAGUGAAAAAGAAAAAAAAAUUACGCGUUAUCUGCAUACCCACCUACAUACCUGCGGUCAGAUAUGGAUAAAAAUAUUGACUAUUUAAAAAUUUACGAAUAAAUUAUAUUCAUAUUCAAAUAAUUCGCAAGUAUAAUGAUUCAUUGGUGGAUUAUACAAUUCGUCCAUU